rnacentral:rRNA from 1 species
CCUACGGGCGGCAGCAGUGGGGAAUAUUGCACAAUGGGGGAAACCCUGAUGCAGCAACGCCGCGUGAGUGAAGAAGUAUUUCGGUAUGUAAAGCUCUAUCAGCAGGGAAGCAGAUGACGGUACCUGAGUAAGAAGCCCCGGCUAACUACGUGCCAGCAGCCGCGGUCAGACGUAGGGGGCAAGCGUUAUCCGGAUUUACUGGGUGUAAAGGGAGCGCAGACGGUGAGACAAGUCUGAAGUGAAAGCGCGGGGGUCAACCCCGGGACUGCUUUGGAAACUGCCUGACUGGAGUGCGGGAGAGGCAAGCGGAAUUCGUGGUGUAGCGGUGAAAUGCGUAGAUAUUAGGAAGAACACCAGUGGCGAAGGCGGCUUGCUGGACAGUAACUGACGUUGAGGCUCGAAAGCGUGGGGAGCGAACAGGAUUAGAUACCCGUGUAGUC